rnacentral:lncRNA from 1 species
UUUAUUCAACAUAAAUUUCAAGGACCUUAUAAAGGGGGCUACAGGCCCUUUGGCAGUUCCACAUGAGAAUAGACAAAGGAACAAAAGCAAGAAGAGGUCAAAGCUUAUCUUAAUCCCUUAAAAAGGGGUCAUGAAAGGGCUCCUCCUCAAAGGACCUCCCUUCAACAUCAUCAGUGGCUUCACUGUCAUCAGAGAAAUCGUUAUCUUCGCUCUUAUCCUUAGCCAUUAAAACCCGGUUGACUUGGUGAGCAAGGUCAAGAGCUGUACUUGCAAAUCUAUGAUUAGAAGGAUAAAAAACAGCAGCGGAGUUAAUCAUACAUGAGCUUAGGACCGGAGGUUUGUUGAGUUUUCUGGUAUUACAUAGCUCCGCUAAAGAUGGAAGAUAGAUUUCCAUGAUACUCACAUCACUGUUAUCCUUUGCAACACUAGCAUCAGUAGAUGGCCUAACAGCUGUGUGCUUGGAGGAGUCAAGAGUGGUUAGGACAUAUUCCAGGGCCUCCUUCUAGGCAAGAGUUG